rnacentral:rRNA from 1 species
UUAAGCAUAUCAAUAAGCGGAGGAAAAGAAACCAACAGGGAUUACCUCAGUAACGGCGAGUGAAGCGGUAACAGCUCAAAUUUGAAAGCUAGCUCUUUUAGGGUUCGCAUUGUAAUUUGUAGAAGAUGCUUCGGGUGUGGCCCCGGUCUAAGUUCCUUGGAACAGGACGUCAUAGAGGGUGAGAAUCCCGUAUGUGACUGGGUGCUUUCGCUCAUGUGAAGCUCUUUCGACGAGUCGAGUUGUUUGGGAAUGCAGCUCAAAAUGGGUGGUAAAUUUCAUCUAAAGCUAAAUAUUGGCCAGAGACCGAUAGCGCACAAGUAGAGUGAUCGAAAGAUGAAAAGCACUUUGGAAAGAGAGUUAAACAGUACGUGAAAUUGUUGAAAGGGAAGCGCUUGCAACCAGACUUGCGCGCUGAUGAUCAUCCGGGCUUCUGUCCGGUGCACUCGUCUGCGCUCAGGCCAGCAUCGGUUUCGGUGGUGGGAUAAAGGCCUUGGGAAUGUAGCUCCUCUCGGGGAGUGUUAUAGCCCUCGGUGCAAUGCCGCCUACCGGGACCGAGGACCGCGCUUCGGCUAGGAUGCUGGCGUAAUGGUUGUAAGCGACCCGUCUUGAAACACGGACCAAGGAGUCUAACAUCUAUGCGAGUGUUUGGGUGUCAAACCCAUACGCGUAAUGAAAGUGAACGGAGGUGAGAACCCUUAAGGGUGCAUCAUCGACCGGUCCUGAUGUCUUCGGAUGGAUCUGAGUAAGAGCAUAGCUGUUGGGACCCGAAAGAUGGUGAACUAUGCGUGAAUAGGGUGAAGCCAGAGGAAACUCUGGUGGAGGCUCGCAGCGGUUCUGACGUGCAAAUCGAUCGUCAAAUUUGCGUAUAGGGGCGAAAGACUAAUCGAACCAUCUAGUAGCUGGUUCCUGCC